UGUGGUGGUGAAGGCGAAGAGGUCACACCUGUUCCCAUGCCGAACACAGCAGUUAAGCUCUUCAGCGCCGAUUG
rnacentral:rRNA from 1 species